UGGGGAAUAUUGGACAAUGGGCGAAAGCCUGAUCCAGCCAUGCCGCGUGUGUGAAGAAGGCCCUCGGGUUGUAAAGCACUUUCAGUGGGGAAGAAAGCCUUGGGAUUAAUACUUCCGAGGAAGGACAUCACCCACAGAAGAAGCACCGGCUAACUCCGUGCCAGCAGCCGCGGUAAUACGGAGGGUGCGAGCGUUAAUCGGAAUUACUGGGCGUAAAGCGCGCGUAGGCGGUCUGAUCAGCCGGUUGUGAAAGCCCCGGGCUCAACCUGGGAACGGCAUCCGGAACUGUCAGGCUAGAGUGCAGGAGAGGAAGGUAGAAUUCCCGGUGUAGCGGUGAAAUGCGUAGAGAUCGGGAGGAAUACCAGUGGCGAAGGCGGCCUUCUGGACUGACACUGACGCUGAGGUGCGAAAGCGUGGGUAGCAAACAGGAUUAGAUACCC
rnacentral:rRNA from 1 species